rnacentral:rRNA from 1 species
GACGAACGCUGGCGGCGUGCCUAAUGCAUGCAAGUCGACGCACCUCCUUUGGGGGGUGCGUGGCGCACGGCUGAGUAACACGUGGGGAUGCACCCGUGCGUGGGGGAUAGCGCGGCGAAAGCCGCGGGAAUCCCGCAUACCCUCCCCCUCAAGGGAGGAAAGCGCAUACGCGCGCGCACGGUCCACCCUGCGGCCCAUCAGGUUGUUGGCGGGGUCACGGCCCACCAAGCCACUGACGGGUAGCUGGUCUGUGAGGACGACCAGCCAGACUGGGACU